AACGAACGCUGGCGGCAUGCCUAACACAUGCAAGUCGAACGAGACCUUCGGGUCUAGUGGCGCACGGGUGCGUAACGCGUGGGAACCUGCCCUUAGGUUCGGAAUAACUCCCCGAAAGGGGUGCUAAUACCGGAUAAUGUCUUCGGACCAAAGAUUUAUCGCCUUUGGAUGGGCCCGCGUUGGAUUAGCCAGUUGGUAGGGUAAAAGCAUACCAAGGCGAGGAUGCAUAGCUGGUUUGAGAGGAGGAUCAGCCACACUGGGACUGAGACACGGCCCAGACUCGUACGGGAGGCAGCAGUGGGGAAUAUUGGAGAAUGGGCGAAAGCCUGAUACAGCAAUGCCGCGUGAGUGAUGAAGGCCUUAGGGUUGUAAAGCUCUUUUACCCGGGAUGAUAAUGACAGUACCGGGAGAAUAAGCACCGGCUAACUCCGUG
rnacentral:rRNA from 1 species